GGCGAACGCUGGCGGCGUGCCUAAUACAUGCAAGUCGAACGCUUUUUCUUUCACCGGAGCUUGCUCCACCGAAAGAAAAAGAGUGGCGAACGGGUGAGUAACACGUGGGUAACCUGCCCAUCAGAAGGGGAUAACACUUGGAAACAGGUGCUAAUACCGUAUAACACUAUUUUCCGCAUGGAAGAAAGUUGAAAGGCGCUUUUGCGUCACUGAUGGAUGGACCCGCGGUGCAUUAGCUAGUUGGUGAGGUAACGGCUCACCAAGGCAACGAUGAAUAGCCGACCUGAGAGGGUGAUCGGCCACACUGGGACUGAGACACGGCCCAGACUCCUACGGGAGUCAGCAGUAGGGAAUCUUCGGCAAUGGACGAAAGUCUGACCGAGCAACGCCGCGUGAGUGAAGAAGGUUUUCGGAUCGUAAAACUCUGUUGUUAGAGAAGAACAAGGAUGAGAGUAAAAUGUUCAUCCCUUGACGGUAUCUAACCAGAAAGCCACGGCUAACUACGUGCCAGCCGCCGCAGUAA
rnacentral:rRNA from 1 species